rnacentral:misc_RNA from 1 species
GAAUGCAGCCGCAUUGGAGCUCCAACCGCCGUCCGGAAAACGUUACAAUUAAAACGCACUCGAAGGAGCAGAGCACUCCCCACUUCCCGAUGAAUGAAAUCAAUUGAGACUCGAGAGGAAGGUGUCGACGCGGACGAUAAACAAAUCAAAAAGGCAAACUCAAAGCUAACUGAGUAUUGUGUAACUAUCUAAACGAUGACCGGCGAAGUGACUAGAAGGAGGCGCAGAGGAGACGGGAUGCACUGAUCACAAGAUUGACCAAAACAGCAGCGAGAUCAAGAAUAAAUCUACAUAUAUAGACGUCACUCAGGUGGAAAAGAAAAAUUGUAAAAUAAAAUUAAAAACAUAGUAGUCGUACAAAUUUGCAAGGGAGCAGUCCGUUGCCAGAUAAAAAACAAACAGCAACAAGAACGCCCAAAAUCGUAAGGAUAACUCCUUGAACAACAAUGUACACAAUCAACAAGGGACCCAGCAAAAUAGUUGCUAAAACGCGUCGCGGUCUGGCACAAAAUUUUGAAAAAUUUGAAAGCAUCAAGGAGAGCAGCCGGAAGAACGGCAGCUUCGACCUCAACAGUCCCGAGGAGCACAAAAACAUACCGCGACCUGUGUUUCAGCAAAGUUUUGCCUCCAAGCGGAUAACACCGACCAAGCUGAUCGAGGAUGAGGUGAUAACGCCGCAGCAUGAGGAGAUCAUUCGGUACAUAAAUGACUCUUGGAACAUGUUAGUGGCGCAAAACCCCUACGACUCGAGCUCAUCCGCCAAGCCCGCCGAGAAGCCCCUGGCGGAUGCCAACAACAACAGCGCCUCCAGCCCAGUGGAAAGCAUUAUUGCCAACUCGCCGCCGAUGCCUGUCCCAUCGGCCGCCACGGUUUGGGUGGAGCCUCCGAGCCCGGCGCUUCAGGACUUUAAACCCUUCGAUCUGGAAUCGUGGUGGGGACGUCGCCUGUUCCACAACAUAACCAAGAGCCUCUAAGAUAGGACUAAAGAGAAUGCUCUGUGGUAGAUUUCCUAGUUAGCCGAGUGCUUCCUUUUAUACUUUCGACUGCAAACAGGCGAUAUCACUUUAGAAUUAGGCAGAACAGUGCGUAGAGUUCGGUUAGUGGCUAAGUAAUCACAUCGGAUGUAAAGUGUAAAUGAAGUAAAAUAAGAGUCAUCGCCGAUGUCCGCCAAUGUAAAUAAUGCUAUAUUCGAUUAGCGACUUGAAAUGUGUUAGAGAGCUUUAAGAAAGGAAGCUGGCAUGAUGGUCAUUUUUUAAAUCAACUCUUGAGGAUUGUGUAAACAUCGAGGAUAAAACUGACACUAGCUAUUCUAUGUAUUUAGGUUUCACUAAAGUUUUCAAUCGAUUAUGUGUGUAAUUGUAAAGAAUUUCCUGUAUAUAUUUGAAAAAAAAAAUUGUAUUUUAUGUUCGUGCA